GUAAGUGAAAACACACUAAUUCAUGCACAUGCACACCUUAGGUGAAAAAACAUAUGGCAAGUACGUAUUUCAUAGAAGGACCAAUGGGUUCAUGUUCCCAGAAUGUGCGAGUCCAAACUCCAUGAAAAAAUUCUUAAGUCAGCAAAUCCAGUUUUCCCAAAAGUCUAGCUGCCAAGAACAAAAAGGCUUAAAUAACAGUCACGAGGCUGUCAGCCAAGGGAACAGCUAACGCCUGGAUAGAGGUAUAGUGUAAUUUUAAUCCUGUGAAACUUGCUGGUCAUUUGAAAUUCAGAUAUUGCAGCAGUGUGAAUGUUGACAUGAUCAGACAGCCCAUCGAAUCUAUGAUUGACAGAUGUGUGGCUGCUGGAGCAUGGCUGAGAGAAAGAGGAAAAAAGAGACAAGCAAAGAAGGGAUCGUCUAUAGUGAAAUGUGAGCGAAUAACAGGAACUAACUUAUUUUGUAGACAUUCCUCAGCAUGAACCAAUAUUUUAACAAACAAUUUAAAAGUAUAAUUGAGUUGAACAUUUGUAAUUACUGUAAAAUUUCUGUAGUCUAAGUGGCAUGAAAUGCUUUGAGAAUGCUUGAGACCUGCUGCUAUAGGGGAAAGAAGUCAACUUCAGAGACAUUUCAGUAACUUGCUGUAUCACACCAAGCCAUUAUUGAUUAUUUUUCUGUAACAGCACAUGCCUUGUCAUCUUUUAUUCCGUAUGUAGUUGUAGCUACGGUAGGGCUUCUUGGGAAUACAACAAAAUGAAAAAUUCAGUACGCCUAUGUAAAGGAUACAACCUGGACUCUAUUGAAGUGAGCUGAAUGUGAUGACUCGGACACAGAAGCCAGAAUUUUUGAAUAGCAUGAAGAUAGCAUUUUGGUAUUAUAUACAAAUCCCAGAUAUACAGUAAGUCUCAUCAACACAGCCUUAUUGCUAAACAGUUGUUAUACCAUAAUUAUGUGUGUGUGCUCACAGCUUGAUGUGAAGCACAAUAAGAUUUUAUGUUAGCAAAGGCUGCCAGUUCCUAGUGCAAUUUCCAAGUGAUUUAGUAUACGCAGAGGCUCUCCUUAGCCAAGAAUAACUGUCCUUGCUGGAUCCCAAGAACAGAUGUUCGGCCAAGGACGUCCAGUACCUGCAUUUUUCAAAAUAGUUGUAAAGUAAGUAUCUGUGUGAUUUGUCUACUUGGCUUUAGCCGUGGCUCAGAUAUAAUUCAUGUGCGUGUUAAGCGGUCAGAGUUCACACACUUCCCAGUGUCAAUGUAUGUGUUUGUCAGUAAAAAUGCAGUAAAUGUAUAAACAAAAGGAAACUUGCAAGUCAUCUCCAAUCGCAACAUUUCUACUGUACCUAUAUAUCGUUAGAUCUUUCCAACCUUGGCUAGAUUCUGCCUCGGGCUGUCCUGCAAACGUCUCUGUCAGCCAAUCUCUCACUCACACUUUACCUGUCAGAUAGCUGGCAAGUGCACAUUUGUCAUCCUGCCAAGAUUCCUCCCCCUCCAUAUCUCUUCCUUUGUUCAUCCACUCCCUCGCCUCUGCACUACCACUAUCCCUGGCAGUGAAUUAUAGUUCAAUUAACCUUUUUUUUUCCCUGCCAAUGCCCGCUGCUACUGACAACCACAGCAUGAAACAAGACUGACAUUCACAUGGUUUCACUUCACUAUUUACCUUUUUUUUUUAUAUUUUCAAAUUGGAUUACACCAAAUAAAUGAGGUUACUGAACCACUGCACCAUGGGAAGCCCAAAGUCAGUUUCGGAUUUGUAUGUUUUUGUACCCAGUGUUCUUGUAGAAUCCAUAGUGGCAGAAAUUUUACAGAAAAUGUGUCUCUCAUAACGGCAGUUAACCUCUUUAAUAGUCAUGAUAAUCUAUAGCAUACAUCAUGCAUGGCUUGUUUUAACUACACGUUAUUGAAGUCAGUGAAAUAUCAAUUUAGGAAGUAAAUCUCUGUGGGAACAAAUGUAGAAGUUCUCCACAACGUGCUCACUUUAUGGAUGGUUAGAUGCCACAUGGUUCAGUAAAGGUGAUCUAUGCAAUUAUCGUUCAAUUCAAAUCAAUUUUAUUUCAUAGAGCUCUUUGAACAAUAGACAUUGUCAGAAAACAGCUUUAGAGAAAUCUAUAUCCUUAAUAAAGUGACGGUGACAUGGGAAACUCCCUUGAGGAGGAAACCUUGAAAGGAAACAGUCAAAAGUCUUUAUUCCUAUUCUCUUAUAAAUGAUACUGCCUAGUGGGAUUAUAAAUCAUUGCUCUCCUUCAACUGUAUAUCCCAGGCAGGGAACCAACCCGGGCACCGAGGGGUCAACUCUCAGUGCCGAUCCCGAGCCCGGAAAAUACGGAAGGCUUGCGGCAGGAAAGGCACGUAAAACCUGUGCCAAAUCAAAUAUGCGGAUCAGUUAAUCCACUGUGAUGACCCUUAAAGGAGCACUCAAAGAGCAACAACAAAAACGACACUUAUACCGCUGUAUAUUAACAGUCAAAGUUCUCAGAGGAGCACAGAACAAUCUUCAGGAUUAGAGCAGCAGUUUUUGGGUGAAAAUCCAACUACCAAGUUAAGACCCAGCAGUAGAAGUGUGUCCAGGUCCACUAAGUACAGAUACAUAUGCUUGUGUCAUACAACCACUAGAUAUGCUUGUCCAUACAGACGUGUAAAAGGGCAAAUUUUGUCAUUAAACAGAGAUUUGGGAGGUCUUGAUAUAACAGCAUAUCUAAAAAAAAAUCUACAUGCAUAACCGUGGACAUUGUCAUCAGUGUAUUUUAUUGUCCAUGUCUUCUAGGUUUCUUAUUUUCUACUUGCACAUAGAAGUUUCACAACCGAUGAGACGUAAAGUACGGUCUAAAUAAAAAACAACUUGAGUAUGAACAUACAGCUAUAUCCAAAAUACACAAAGCACAGCCCAAGCUCUUAACACAGCCCAUAACCUUUGCUGAUUGCAAUUCUCUGACAUGAAUGUGUCUAUUACUUUGGGCUGCUCGCUCCAAGAUUCUCUGCCAACUGUUUUAUGUCAGUGCCCACUGUGUUUUCCCAGCCCUGGAGGCAGAGGUGGUGGUCUUUGUUAAAGCUUUUGUUUGAGGCUAGUGGGUGGGCGGUAGGAGGCGAUGCCAAGUAGAGAGGCUCUAUCAGCUCAGACAGUGUCUGGGAAACAAAUCUGUUUUCGCUAACCUCAAAGCGAUAGCAAUUCUAUAUGACCAUAGCUUUGAUGUAGCUAAAUCCGAAUACAUUAUUCAGAAAAAGCAGAUAAUGUCAAUACUGAUACACAAUAAAAAGUUGCACAUGUCAGAGGUUUUUAUUUUCACGUGGUUAUAAGUGGGUGGUCAGUUCUAAACUGUCUGCACAGGAAUAAAGAGUUGAGAUCAGUUCAGAACUGGAUUGAACUGGAAUUGUUUGUUUCAUGAAGCAAAAUUUUAUAAUCUGGAAAAGUUAAGUGAUACUUAAACAUCAGAACCGUCCAAGAUAUUAAUAGAAACAAAUAAUACGAUACACACAAAACUUGGCAUAAUCAGGCCACUGAAACACGAAGAACAUGAAAGUUGUGAAAGUUCUUCAACUAGGUCUGAUAUCAACCACAUAGAUUUCUCCAGAUACACUUCAGGGCUGCAUGUGUACUGUACUGUAUCACCAAAAACCCUACUAGGUACAUCGAUUUCUCUUUAGAGCUUUAAAUAUUGCUCAAUAAAACCUAUUUAUGAUUCCACAUGCUGUCAAAACAUAGCUGCAAGUCAGUCUGUUCUAGACCUGGGCCUAUGGCAUGUCUAGGUUUUUUUUUUUUUUUACCAUAAUUAAAGUACAGAACAGCAUCUUUACAUAUUUUCUCUGCCUUGAAGCUCUGGAGUUCAUUCUCAUUGAGUAACUCUAAUGAGAAUCAGCCAUUUGUAAUUAGCAGUGGAAAACACCACACUGUUUAAGGAGAUUAAGGGACAAAGUAGUUGACAAAGAUGAUGAAGUUUUUGGUUUUUGGGAGUAGUGGAUGAAGUAAACCCUUCAAACCCUUCAGUUCAUUGAUUUGAUUAGUAUUUCAUUAUUUAUAAAUACAUAAUGCAUUAGUUCAUACUGUAAUGUGGCUCUUGAUUAUCCUUACCUAAUAUUCUCUCUCUCUCUCUCUCUCUCUCUCUCUCUCUCUCUCUCUCUCUCUCUCUCUCUCUCUCUCUCUCUCUCUCUCUCUCU